CACCGCGGUUAUACGAGAGACCCAAGUCGACAGAACCCGGCGUAAAGCGUGAUUAAUAUAAUAUAAUAACUAAAGUCGAACUUCUUCAAAGCUGUUAUACGCUUAUGAAGCUAAGAAGCCCAUUAACGAAAGUAACUUUAAGUUAUAUGAACUCACGAAAGCUCUGAAA
rnacentral:rRNA from 3 species